rnacentral:rRNA from 1 species
GAGUGAGUGGCGGACGGGUGAGUAACACGUGGGUAACCUGCCCUAAAGUGGGGGAUAACAUUUGGAAACAGAUGCUAAUACCGCAUAAAACCUAGCACCGCAUGGUGCAAGGUUGAAAGAUGGUUUCGGCUAUCACUUUAGGAUGGACCCGCGGUGCAUUAGUUAGUUGGUGAGGUAAAGGCUCACCAAGACCGUGAUGCAUAGCCGACCUGAGAGGGUAAUCGGCCACACUGGGACUGAGACACGGCCCAGACUCCUACGGGAGGCAGCAGUAGGGAAUCUUCCACAAUGGACGAAAGUCUGAUGGAGCAACGCCGCGUGAGUGAAGAAGGUUUUCGGAUCGUAAAACUCUGUUGUUGGAGAAGAACGUAUUUGAUAGUAACUGAUCAGGUAGUGACGGUAUCCAACCAGAAAGCCACGGCUAACUACGUGCCAGCAGCCGCGGUAAUACGUAGGUGGCAAGCGUUGUCCGGAUUUAUUGGGCGUAAAGCGAGCGCAGGCGGUUUCUUAAGUCUGAUGUGAAAGCCUUCGGCUCAACCGAAGAAGUGCAUCGGAAACUGGGAAACUUGAGUGCAGAAGAGGACAGUGGAACUCCAUGUGUAGCGGUGAAAUGCGUAGAUAUAUGGAAGAACACCAGUGGCGAAGGCGGCUGUCUGGUCUGUAACUGACGCUGAGGCUCGAAAGCAUGGGUAGCAAACAGGAUUAGAUACCCUGGUAGUCCAUGCCGUAAACGAUGAGUGCUAGGUGUUGGAGGGUUUCCGCCCUUCAGUGCCGCAGCUAACGCAUUAAGCACUCCGCCUGGGGAGUACGACCGCAAGGUUGAAACUCAAAGGAAUUGACGGGGGCCCGCACAAGCGGUGGAGCAUGUGGUUUAAUUCGAAGCAACGCGAAGAACCUUACCAGGUCUUGACAUCCUUUGACCACUCUAGAGAUAGAGCUUUCCCUUCGGGGACAAAGUGACAGGUGGUGCAUGGUUGUCGUCAGCUCGUGUCGGGAGAUGUUGGGUUAAGUCCCGCAACGAGCGCACCCUUAUUACUAGUUGCCAGCAUUUAGUUGGGCACUCUAGUGAGACUGCCGGUGACAACCGGAG